AUCAUGAGUUCACAUGUCCGCAUGAUUAAAGGUAUUUUCCGGUAGACGAUGGGGAUGCGUUCCAUUAGAUAGUAGGCGGGGUAACGGCCCACCUAGUCAACGAUGGAUAGGGGUUCUGAGAGGAAGGUCCCCCACAUUGGAACUGAGACACGGUCCAAACUCCUACGGGAGACAGCAGUGAGGAAUAUUGGUCAAUGGGCGAUGGCCUGAACCAGCCAAGUAGCGUGAAGGAUGACUGCCCUAUGGGUUGUAAACUUCUUUUAUAAAGGAAUAAAGUCGGGUAUGCAUACCCGUUUGCAUGUACUUUAUGAAUAAGGAUCGGCUAACUCCGUGCCAGCAGCCGCGGUAAUACGGAGGAUCCGAGCGUUAUCCGGAUUUAUUGGGUUUAAAGGGAGCGUAGAUGGAUGUUUAAGUCAGUUGUGAAAGUUUGUGGCUCAACCGUAAAAUUGCAGUUGAUACUGGAUGUCUUGAGUGCAGUUGAGGCAGGCGGAAUUCGUGGUGUAGCGGUGAAAUGCUUAGAUAUCACGAAGAACUCCGAUUG
rnacentral:rRNA from 1 species